CUUAUAUAAGGAGACUUAUAAAAGACAAAAUUGAACAUUCAAUUUUGUAAGGUAAGGGAAGAACCUUGAGUGAGCAUGUGCACAACGCCAGUAAAGACACUGCGCAUGCUCCCCUCCCAAGCGCUAGCAGGCCACUACUGCGCAUGCGGACAGUCCACCCCAAGGGAAGAAAGGGAAGAACGGGGGAGAAGUAACGCAAGACACCGGAAGCAUGACAACGUGUAAAACCCCAAGUCAGAGGUCAAAUGGCGCACUCGAUCUCUCAAGUCGCCUGCUUGCCCCUCUACUAAAUAUAUUUUACGGUCUUCCAUUCCUGCUUUAAAACUUUUCAGUAAACUUUCAUGCCUGCUCUAAAAGUUGCCUCAGUCUCUCCUUCUGUCUUGUGCCCCUCUGCCAAAUUCUUCUGAGGAGGCAAGUAUUGAGGUUGCUGCAGACACGUGAUGAUUCGCUACUGGUAACAUACUUUGGUACCACCUAACUCGGAUACAUUUGGCUAACAGUAGCUGUAGAAUAGGUACCUGUAGCCCUGUCAGCCUCAGGGCCUCAGCUAGCAGCGGCUGGCCAUGCCCCUCAGGUCUCUAACACACAUGUUCACUUCUUUUUCCAGAAAGGGAGAUGCCAUGUGCUGGCCCAGCACUCCAAUAGGGGCCUGACCUCUAGGAAUGGGACACUGGAGGAAGCCUAGACAUUUGAACAAAUCAAGUCAUCCAGAUCCAUGGUCAGCUCCUGCCCCGACUUGGCCUUCCUCCUGCUGGGCUGGCCCACGGACCUCGGGAACCUGCCCUGGCUGUGGGUGACCUGCAGGUUUUCAUCUGUGCUGCAGUGGAGCCUCACCUGUUAGUUUCAUGCUCUAGCCUGGAUUUGGAGACCCCAGGGAGAGGUGAGCUAGGAGCCCUGUCCCCUGGCCUGGGGCUCUGGGGCAUGGACUGUGCGACUGUCUCUAUCCUGCCACCCUUGCUGCUCCCUGAGUCAAAAUGGACCACGUUGCCGUUGUUUUGGGUUGUGCCCGAGUGCGCUGAGGAUAGCUGGCUGCCUAUCUCCCAGGACUAUGGAAGCCCCAUGUAGGAACAUGGUUCUAAGACGUUGGGGCUUACACCCUAUGCUUGAAGAACUGGAAAAGCCCCUGAAGUCCCGAGACCACAACCCUCCACCUUCUAAAGAUAAGACAAGUCACUGAAGGUAAAACCAGAGAUGGUGGGAUCAUUUAAGGAGCUCUCCACUGCGGCCCACAGACACACGCAUAUGUGUGGGUGGGAUCACAGGACCCCUCCAGCUCCUCAGCUUCUUCAAGGACAGGAUUGCCACGGCCUGGGAGGUGCCAUGGGUGAACAGACUUCCCUACUUCCUGCCUCCCCAAGGGUGAGCCUGCAGUCUGGGGGAUGGCUGUGCUCCUGGGCCCAGUGUCUAAGUGAAAAUUAGAAGGAAAAUGGAGGGAGGGUGGUGAGUGAGGACAGACUGGCCAAGGUCUCCCUCAGCCACUCCUGAAGUCCUCACUAAGGAGAAGCAGCCUCUCCUCCCAGCCUUACCCUAGUCCUCCCUAAGAGUAUAUUCUGCUAGUUUCUGUGCAGAUUUUUUUUGGCUGUGACCAAUAGUAGCUUAAACAUGGAUUAUUUUCUUUUUAGUUUCUUCCUGCAAAUUUCUUAGGAAACUAUCAAUAAAAUUAAUAUACAUGUGAAAUAGUUCUCUUGGAAACAUCCUUUCUUAAUGCUCAUGACUGUGUUUAUUAUGGCCGUGUCCCAUCCAGACUAAGUAAAUUAAAAUCUUAGCCCAGAUGAGAUGUAAGCAAAGGCAAGAAGAAACUUUGAUACCUACCAAAUCAUUCCUUGGUUGUAGACUAAAUGUAGCACAUUCUCAGCUAUUUUGAAUUCUCCAUAUUCAGGCUACAAGAGAAAAUAAACUUGUGCAUUAAACAAGUUCCAAAGUUCUUUGCAUGAACCCA